GACGAACCGUACGAACGUUAUUCGGAAUCACUGAGCUUAAAGGGUGCGUAGGCGGCGCAGUAAGUUGGGUGUGAAAUCCCUCGGCUUAACCGAGGAAUUGCGCCCAAAACUACUGUGCUCGAGGGAGGUAGAGGUGAGCGGAACUUAGGGUGGAGCGGUGAAAUGCGUUGAUAUCCUAAGGAACACCGGUGGCGAAAGCGGCUCACUGGACCUCUUCUGACGCUGAGGCACGAAAGCUAGGGUAGCAAACGGG
rnacentral:rRNA from 1 species